UACGUAGGGUGCAAGCGUUGUCCGGAAUCAUUGGGCGUAAAGCGCGCGUAGGUGGCUUCGUAAGUCCGUUGUGAAAGUCAAAGGCUCAACCUUUGAAUGCCGAUGGAUACUGCGAAGCUAGAGUACGGAAGAGGCGAGUGGAAUUCCUGGUGUAGCGGUGGAAUGCGCAGAUAUCAGGAGGAACACCGGUGGCGAAGGCGGAUCUCUGGGCCGUAACUGACGCUGAGGAGCGAAAGCAUGGGGAGCGAACAGG
rnacentral:rRNA from 1 species